rnacentral:rRNA from 1 species
CCCGCCGGACCUGACUGCUAUCGGAUUGAUACUAAGCCAUGCGAGUCUUUGCAGUAAUGCAAGGCAUACGGCUCAGUAACACGUAGUCAACCUACCCUAUGGACGAGAAUAAUCUCGGGAAACUGAGCAUAAUUCUUGAUAGAUCAUAAUGCCUGGAAUGGUUUAUGGUUAAAAUGAUUCGUCGCCAUAGGAUGGGACUGCGGCCUAUCAGCUUGUUGGUGAGGUAAUGGCCCACCAAGGCGAUUACAGGUACGGGCUCUGAGAGGAGAAGCCCGGAGAUGGGUACUGAGACACGGACCCAGGCCCUAUGGGGCGCAGCAGGCGAGAAAACUUUGCAAUGUGCGAAAGCACGACAAGGUUAAUCCGAGUGAUUUCUGCUAAAGAAAUCUUUUGCCAGUCGUAAAACCGCUGGUGAAUAAGGGGUGGGCAAGUUCUGGUGUCAGCCGCCGCGGUAAAACCAGCACCUCAAGUGGUCAGGAUGAUUAUUGGGCCUAAAGCAUCCGUAGCCGGCUUUGUAAGUUUUCGGUUAAAUCCAUGUGCUCAACGCAUGGGCUGCCGAAAAUACUGCAUAGCUAGGGAGUGGGAGAGGUAGACGGUAUUCAGUAGGUAGGGGUAAAAUCCUUUGAUCUAUUGAUGACCACCUGUGGCGAAGGCGGUCUACCAGAACACGUUCGACGGUGAGGGAUGAAAGCUGGGGGAGCAAACCGGAUUAGAUACCCGGGUAGUCCCAGCUGUAAACGAUGCAGACUAGAUGAUGCAUUGGCAUAAUAGCCAUUGCAGUGUCCCAGGGAAGCCGUUAAGUCUGCCGCCUGGGAAGUACGUACGCAAGUAUGAAACUUAAAGGAAUUGGCGGGGGAGCACCAC